UACGGAGGGGGCUAGCGUUGUUCGGAAUUACUGGGCGUAAAGCGCACGUAGGCGGCUUUGUAAGUUAGAGGUGAAAGCCCAGGGCUUAACUCUGGAAUUGCCUUUAAGACUGCAUCGCUAGAAUCGUGGAGAGGUGAGUGGAAUUCCGAGUGUAGAGGUGAAAUUCGUAGAUAUUCGGAAGAACACCAGUGGCGAAGGCGACUCACUGGACAAGUAUUGACGCUGAGGUGCGAAAGCGUGGGGAGCAAACAGG
rnacentral:rRNA from 1 species